AAGUCGUAACAAGGUUUCCGUAGGUGAACCUGCGGAAGGAUCAUUACUAGAGCAAAGGACAGGCAGCGCCCCACAGGAGUUUGCUCCCGUGGCGGGCUACCCUACUCCGGUAGGGUUUAGAGCCGUCGGACCUCUCAAAGAAGUCCGGUCCUGACCUCCACCCUUGAAUAUGCUACCUUUGUUGCUUUGGCGGGCCGCCUUGUGCCAGCGGCUUCGGCUGUUGAGCGCCCGCCAGAGGACCACAACUCUUGUCUUUAGUGAUGUCUGAGUACUAUAUAAUAGUUAAAACUUUCAACAACGGAUCUCUUGGUUCUGGCAUCGAUGAAGAACGCAGCGAAAUGCGAUAAGUAAUGUGAAUUGCAGAAUUCAGUGAAUCAUCGAAUCUUUGAACGCACAUUGCGCCCUCUGGUAUUCCGGGGGGCAUGCCUGUUCGAGCGUCAUUAUAACCACUCAAGCUCACGCUUGGUCUUGGGGUCCGCGUUCUCGCGGCCCCUAAAAUCAGUGGCGGUGCCGGUCGGCUCUACGCGUAGUAAUACUCCUCGCGUCUGGGUCCGGCCGGUUUACUUGCCAGCAACCCCUAAUUUAUACAGGUUGACCUCGGAUCAGGUAGGGAUACCCGCUGAACUUAAGCAUAUCAAUAAGCGGAGGACAAGAAACCAAAAGGGAUUACCCCAGUAACGGCGAGUGAAGCGGUAACAGCUCAAAUUUGAAAGCUAGCUCUUCUAGGGUUCGCAUUGUAAUUUGUAGAAGAUGCUUCGGGUGUGGCCCCGGUCUAAGUUCCUUGGAACAGGACGUCAUAGAGGGUGAGAAUCCCGUACGUGACUGGGUGCUUUCGCUCAUGUGAAGCUCUUUCGACGAGUCGAGUUGUUUGGGAAUGCAGCUCAAAAUGGGUGGUAUAUUUCAUCUAAAGCUAAAUAUUGGCCAGAGACCGAUAGCGCACAAGUAGAGUGAUCGAAAGAUGAAAAGCACUUUGGAAAGAGAGUUAAACAGUACGUGAAAUUGUUGAAAGGGAAGCGCUUGCAACCAGACUUGCGCGCUGACGAUCAUCCGGGCUUUUGCCCGGUGCACUCGCCUGCGCUCAGGCCAGCAUCGGUUUCGGUGGUGGGAUAAAGGCCUUGGGAAUGUAGCUCCUCUCGGGGAGUGUUAUAGCCCUCGGUGCAAUGCCGCCUACCGGGACCGAGGACCGCGCUUCGGCUAGGAUGCUGGCGUAAUGGUUGUAAGCGACC
rnacentral:rRNA from 1 species